AAAGAUUUACACUGCCUUAUUAAUUUUAUUAAAAGUAAUAUUUUACAUUCAGCAUUUUCCUAUUAAUGUCUGAGUAAUGUUUUUCCCUUGUGAUUACAGAUUCACACAAUGCAUGCAUUAGGGAGGUAUCCUCUUCUUCUGUUGGGGAAGAGGAAUGUGUCAGGGUCCUUCACAACUGACGUGAUCACAGCUAAUUCCUUUUUAUCCCCAGAGGAGGUGUCCAUUGAAACAAUAAAGAACAUUUUUACAAGUCUUCUAAAAGUGAAAUAUUCUGCCCUGGACAGUGGAGUUGAGAGCAACCACAGCAUGUCGUCCAGCGGGGAAGAUCGUGGUGCCAGCGAUGGAGUAGAUGCCACAGUCUUUCAUAAAGGGGAUGAUCCCAGUGGCAGCACUGGUGGAGAGGAUGUUGUUACUUUAAUCCUUACUCCAGUGGAUCUCUCAUGCGAACCUUCUCACACCUUCCAGCCACCAAAAAAAAAGAGGAUCCUGGAGAAAUCUAAAGCUAUCACACCUAUCCCACCGACAGAUGUCCCUUUUCCAUACUUGUAAAAUGUCAUUGCUUCACCCACAAUGGUAUGUUCUUCUGUAUGUAAACUGUUUUCACCUAAUGUUAACAUGCAUUUCCUAUAUUCCAA
rnacentral:lncRNA from 1 species